UACAGAGGGUGCGAGCGUUAAUCGGAAUUACUGGGCGUAAAGCGUGCGUAGACGGCUAUCUAAGUCGGGUGUGAAAGCCCCGGGCUCAACCUGGGAAUUGCAUUCGAGACUGAAUAGCUAGGGUACGGUAGAGGGAAGUGGAAUUUCCGGUGUAGCGGUGAAAUGCGUAGAUAUCGGAAGGAACAUCAGUGGCGAAAGCGACUUCCUGGACCAGUACCGACGUCAGGCACGAAAGCGUGGGGAGCAAACAGGG
rnacentral:rRNA from 1 species